UACGAGGGGUGCUAGCGUUGUUCGGAAUCAUUGGGCGUAAAGAGUAUGUAGGCGGCCUUAUAAGUCAGUUGUGAAAUCCCCGGGCUCAACCCGGGAAGUGCAAUUGAUACUGUUAGGCUUGAGUAUGGAAGAGGGUAGUGGAAUUCCAGGUGUAGUGGUGAAAUACGUAGAUAUCUGGAGGAAUACCGGUGGCGAAGGCGGCUACCUGGUCCUAUACUGACGCUGAGAUACGAAAGCAUGGGUAGCAAACAGG
rnacentral:rRNA from 1 species